UUUUUUUUGAGGAACUUGGUUAUCAAAGGAAGGGAAGAGAUGUAUAAAGAGCUUGCAAAUAUCACAAAGUAAGGGAAGCCUUGUAUUAGGUCAAAUUUUUUUUUUUAAGGAUGAAAGACUUUUAAGUAUGUUUUAUAAGCUGAAGAAGGAGCCUUUAGGAAGGGAAUGAGUGAUGAGUUCUGAUCCUUUAUUCACAACUCCCUGUUUUCUGCACUCUCCUUAGGUCUCGAAGUCACAGAUGGCAUGAAAAAAUAAGGGUCUUCUUGAUUCAAAACCAAUUUGAGGCAAACUUUUGGCUGUGCCGGCCCCUGACAAGAAGACACUGCUGAGAAAGUAUGCCCACCACCCCGUCUCCUUCUGUCCUAGCACCAGACUGUAACUCAUCUCCAUCCUUCCCAGCCUGGGGCUCUCUUGCAUCCUACCUGGAUUUCAAGGCAUCUCACCCAAGAUGCAGACCGACGUCUAGCCUGAGUCCAGCCAUGGGAACUAUCCUCAGCUCUUUGGGAGUGCCCUCUCCUCUCUUAUCCCCAGGCAUGCCCUCCCUCCCAGCUGGCUCAGGCUGCUCACCCUUGGAGCUCUCUGGGUAGGUAUCGCUCCUUCCCUGUGCCCCCUCUAACACCCAUCACAGUAGAUCGUGAAUCCUAUUCACAACCCUUGCUUCCUCCAGUAGGCUGUGACUUGCUUCUUGGGUGUCUCUAGCACCUAACAUGUAGCAAGGCUCACUAAAUGUGUGCUUUAUGAAUGAAUGAACAAAUGGAUGUGUUCCUUAUCCUUUUUCAUCCCGAGUCUCUUCAUGGAGGAAGAAGACCCAGAUAAAGCAGCAGACUGAGAAAUGGAACGCAAAGAGUCGCUUUUGGUUAUGUGCAGUUUCCCUCUAGAGUCUAAUCUCUUGCUGCGGAUUUAGGCCGUGAGCAGCCUACAGACUUGGAGGCAGUAAAGACUACAUCAUAAUAACCAUCUAUUAAACUUCAAAGGGAGAAAAACUUAAAACAUGAAUGGAGCUAAUUGCUGGCUGCCACAAAUUGGUUCUUGGGCAUUAUAAAUGGUUUACUAGUUGGUCUAGAUACCAUUGCGAUAGAUGCCAUAUAUAAAUACAAACAUAAAGGGAUGCAGAGAUAACUCACAGAGGCUGUGACCUCAUCAAGUCACAGCGCUAUAGCCUACAGGGAAGGAUUUUACCUGUUCUGUGUGUUUGGCAUAAUUAUCUGUCACAAAGUAGCCAAAAAAAUGACUCUCUUAUUUAACAAUUACCUAAAGACUGGAGUCUAGGUGAAACCAAUGAAACAGUUGCUAUCCUAGGCUGGGUGUGAGGAUGCCUCGGGGUCAGACCACCCUCUGAAGCAACCAGCUAUGUUCCACAGGCCAGAUGCCUGUCUAUUACUCAACACACUAGUUAUAAUACUUGGGCUCAUGCAUUCACUUACUCAUUCAUUCAGUGUAUAUUUAUUAAGCACCUACUGUAUCCCUGGUACAGUGCUAGGUACCAGGAGGACCAAGAGGAAUAAGUCCCCAGCCUUCUCACAGGCCAUCCUCAGGGUAAUGCAGAGAAACUGAAGAACACAGUGUGACAAUGCUGUUAACAUGUGUCCAGGUGCUGCAGGGGAUAGGGAAGGGGGUAAGUGGAACUGCCAGAGGAGACAGGUGAAAUCUUGAGAGGGGGAGGUCUUUGCAUUGGGUUUGCCAUGAUUAGCCAGAGUUGGUCAGGCAGAGAAGAAGUGCCAUUCAAAAUAACAGGAACGUGGUAUCAAAAAUACAUGAAAAAGAAAUCCUUAGGGAACAGUGAAUGUCGGGUGAGUAUAGUCGGCCUCUAAGGGACCCAUGGGGGUGGGUUAGCCUUGGGGAGGGGCUGGGUAUUCUCUUGUAGGCUAUAAGGCAGUGGUUCUCAAACUUGAGCAUAUGCACCAGCAUCCCUUGGAGGGGUGGCUAACACAGAUUGCUUGGCCCCUCCCCCAGUGUUUCUGAAUGGGCAAUUCUGGGGCCGGGCUGGAGGACUGGCUGUCUCUAACAAGCUCUCGGGUAUGGUGGAUGACCUGGGGGUGGGGGGAGAUGGGUUCAAAUCCAUGCUGUGCCGUAUCCUGAGAGCACGAGACUACCCACGUCACUUCCCCUCCUUCAGCCUUAGUCUCAGUUUCCUCCUUAGUGAAAUUGGGGCUAAUGGUCCCUGCCAGGCAGCCUUUCUUCUGGCGACUUUAUUGAGAGAACGUGUGUGAGCUCUCAGGAUAUAUCAAGUGCUAAAAAGAAGUGCUAGAAGAUGUGUAUGUUACACACACAAACACACAAGUAUCUUUUAGUACUUUUUUUUUGGCCUAUUGAACAUUCCACAAGACUCUUAACGAAUUCAAGAGGUUUCACAAGCCUCUUGGAUGGCUGCCCUGUGUGUGUGUGUGUGUAUACAUGUGUGCGAGAGACAGAAAAGGGGAGUAAGCCAGAACAAUGUCAGGGUGGAAAAAGGAGGCUGACGUUAAUUCCAUUUUUACCUUUGAGUUCCGGUCUCAUUUCCUAUAACAUCUUAGAAGAUUUCUAAAUUAAAACAGACCAGGACUUAGAAACCUUCCGCUAGGGAUUUUUCCUUUCUAUCACAUAAAAAUCUUCCCUGAGUCCCUCAGGGACUUCCUGGGUUCUCUGUAAAAAUUUCACAGUUUUCCAUAAAUGCAGAAACAGGCAAUAUUGAUCAGGCUCAGGAUGAAUGCAACCAAACCCUUUAAACAAGGGUCUAGCCAGUUCUAGGAAACCUUUUCUUCACCUUAGUGUAAUUCUCCACCUCCGGGGUAUUGACAGGCUGGGUUUAAAGAGCUCCUUUAACUAAAUGCGACUGGAGUUCUCCUUUCAUCAGGAAGGGCCGCAAGGAGGCUGUAACAUGUUAUUCUGGAGUGUGUUAGCAGGCACGCCCUGGAACAGCAGGCUAUCAGCUUACCCACAAGUGAACAAUUACCCGGGUGGUGUGGUUAAUCGCAGCAGCUUCACUAUGGAGAAAGAAAAAUAAUACCCUUCCCAUCUUGUCCCAAGGAAAAGAAAGAAGACAUCUACCAAUGUGUAAGAGGAUAAUUUCCUAAUUACCCCAUGAAGGUUGUUAUUUCUGGUGGGUCCUUAAAUCAGGUUGAGAGGGGAAAUCUGAUCCUUCCUUUAGUGAUGAAAAAUGUUAUUGUAGGAUUGGGUUUUCACAUAGUGUCUCCCUCUGGAGUUGAAGGAAGAAGUUGCCAAUCGCCCCCAGGGGAGCUGUGGAGACCGCAGGUGUGGGCAGAGGAAGGUCCCCAAGUGCUGAGGCCAGAGCUGGGGCACUUCAGGUUGGUGGCAAUGUGAUUAAUUCCUCAGAAAACCUUCCUCCUGAGUGUGAGGGGGCCCCAGCAGAAUACAUGACUUCCUAGCCUAUUAACUUCUGAACGUUUUAGAAAUGAAGCUUGCUGCAGUCUUCAGCUACCAUUAAAUUCUCCUCAAGGCAUCUUGUGACAAAAGGAGGGGUGUUCUGGUAGUGAUUAUCAAACCAUAACUAAUCCCCCAGGGGGCACUCCCAGAAUGUUGCCUACUCCUCUGGAAAAAAGAAACUAACAUUUCUGGAGGACCUGCCGCCGAGUUCUAGAACUUUCUCUUCUACUCUCUCCUUGACUCUUCACAACAACCCUGUAAGACAGUGUAACAGCUGUCAAUGUCUAAACACCCCAAUAGAGGACCCCAUCAUACCAUGUGCUCCCAGAAGGGGGAGGCCCCCUUGGCAGAGCUCUCCUCCCCUGCUUUCCGGUCCUACCUUCUCUGACAGCUGUGAGUGGACUGGCAGGACACAGGAAACAGAGAAGUUAGGGGGAGAAGGUGUAGGAGUGGGAACAGGGAAGAAAAUCUGGACAUGGAGAAGGGGUGGCCUUAAGGGUGAGCCAGAGCCGGUACCAAGAAGACUAGCCAAGCAAGUGAAAUGUGGCUUUAUCUUCCACUCUCUUCAGUUCCAGAAUGCCCCCCAUCUGUGUCCCUCGGGGACACAGUCAUUAAUUCAACAACUAUGUACUAAGCGCCCCUUAAGUACCAGGUACCUUAAUGUGCACUGGGGAAAAGGCAGUGAAUAACCAAAUGCAAGUCCCCCUUCCGGGAGCCUGCCUUCAAAGGGGUUUCCAGCCAGUGGCUUCACGCCUUCCUAGGCUGCUGAGAACUCCCUAGGAGGGUGCCCCCUUUCGGUUCCUGUUGACACGCGCGCGCACACGCACGGACACGCGCGCACUGGCCCUGCCCCCUGCCUCGCAACCUCCUUUCGUGCUCCGCAGCACGCACGCCUACGCACACGCACGGAUACCCGCCAGCUCACACAUGCGCGCUCACGGACACACGCACACACACGCGUGCGCACACACACGCCCUGCCGCGCGACCCUGUCCCACGCCCAGGGCGCGGCGUGGAGGGGCGGGCAGCAGACGCGGGCGUGCGCCGAGGAGCCGCUCAGCACGCGACCGCCGGCGAAGGGCCUCUGUUCUGUGCCGGCGCGGCGGGCCCGGCGCCGAGGCCCCGCAGACGGAGCCCCCGAGGUUCCUCUCCGCCCGCACCGCCGGGCUCUGCGCUGCAGGCAGGCGGGAUGGCGCCCCCGGACCUGGCGGCCCACGGCCCACCCACGACCCACGGCCUCAGCCCUCUAGGGCCUCGUCUGGCCGCCGGCUCCUUUCUCAGCAACUCCGUCUGGGCGGCGGGAUGGGAGGAGAGGCAGAUGCAGAAAUGGAGGCUCUGAGUUCCAGCAGCAUGUGGUGGUGGGAACAUCCGCAACGCAGAGGUGAAUCAAGACUGUAUCAUGAUGAGAGCUCCACUCAAAGAAGGAAGAUGCUCUGUCAGGAAACAAACACUGAACACCUGCUCUUCCAGUGCAGAUGGCAGGAAAGCAGAGGAGAGAAGCUGACUGACGUUUGAGAUGGUGGUUUGAGAUUUCUUUCAAGGUGCCGUCAAAGAACAGUGCCAAAGAUAGCAGCAGUGCCGGACAAGGAUGAAGGAAAUGUUUUCUUUUCAAUUAAAACCUGUUUUUAAAAAUCGACAUGCUGUUUUUUUCAGUCUGAGUUUUUUGUUGUUUUUACGGAUCAAGUUCAUUUCAGUUUGAAGAAUCAGCAGUGAUAAAAAGCUGUUAAGCGUGGGCAUCUACUCAUGUGUGUACCUUUUCUCUUUUCCGUUCUAUCUAUCCAUUUACCAGCCCUUUGCACCAGAGGGCUGGUCAGCAGGAAUACUUGCUCUUCACAAACGGAGCCUGGCCCAGGCCCAGGACAGUGUUCUGAGGAGGAUUUCAGGCUGCAUCUCCCUCUUCCAUAGGGUUUGAAUAAUCCCACAGGUUCCCAUCUGGCAAGAUUUAUUUUUAGAAUAGCCUCUCACAUAAUCUGGCUUAUUUGCCUGAAUGCUCCCUUAGCAUAUAUCUUUCCUAAACAGAGACAUUCCCCUUAGCUUGUAACUCAUUCCUGCACAAAUCCAUUGCAGACUCUGAGCUACAUGGUUUGGUUGCCAGAAAUGCCAGAAGGUCUUACCAUUAACAAGUAGUCUGUUUCUUGUAGUAUCUUACACAGCACACUUUCCAAUGGUGUGAGAAAAAUCUUCAAACAACCUGGCUAAGUAAAGCAUCACAAGAUGCCCCCAAACCAAACUGUAAGAUAAAACCUCAUCAGUUUGGCAAAUUGCUCUUGGUUUGGAUGUUACACGUAUGUAGGUUCUCCUUUGUGUAGAUGAUGAAGAAUUGCCUGGAGUAUUCUCGAGAAGUCUUACUGGCCAGAGAGAGAGAAAUAGCGGUAAUUUCAUAUGGUUCAACCAAAAUAGGUUCAGAGAAUUUCAGAGUCAGAAGUUUUUUGAGACUAUCAGGGUGUCUUUCAAAUAUCUGAAUGCCGUUUAUGUGAACCCAAUGAUUGCUCAACCUCUGCUUGAACUCCUCUAGGGUCAGGGAACCCAUUACCUUACAGGGCAGUCAGUUCUGGUUUCAGAUCGUUCAUAUUGUUAAAGUUCUUAGUUAAAAUGAGUUCAAAUCAUAUCAGUGUAAUUUCUACCACUGGGUCCUAGCUCUGCUCCCUAGAGUCACAUGCAGAAAAGCUAGUUCCUCUUCCAUUUAACAGCUUUGCUUUAAGCAAUUUUAAGGAGUUACUGCAUUUUCUUAUGUCCUCUCUUUCUCUAAAUGAAGUAUCAUUUUAAGACCCCCAUGACAUAACAAGGUGGUCACCACUGCUCACCUCUAGCAUCUCUACUUCAAGUGCCUACCAUGUUACCGAGGACCAGUUAGAAGCCCAGUUCCCUCCCAUGUGGAGUUGGGUGGGCUGCCACCUCACUUUCCUUGGACACCCACUUUCUAGUAGUGCUGCAUAUGUGGGAACAGACCGACUGAGACCAUAGAGCUCGUGGUUGACCUUGACAACCCAAGCCCACGGCUUUGCCCUGGGCCUCAGGACAUUCUAAUGCAGAGGAAGGAACAGCUAGAGUUUGAGUCUAUGCCUCCUCCCACAGCUGGUUUUGACUAGGAUGCUCAGCUAACCAGUGAUCCCAAGGGGCUUCAAGACUGGCACUUUCUCUGAGUUGCCACGUCAUGGGGCUCUGAGCAAGGAGCUGGACCUCUUUAUUUGCAGAGCUGCCACAAGGCCCAGCCAAUACCCAGGUAUCAGAUGCCUCCCUGCUGUGCUGCCCUGAUGCCCGGGAGGCACUGUCAGUUCUCUGUGUCUCCUCUUUUUUCACAUCAGACAGACUGAUUGCUCCUGCCAGGAUUCCCCAGGAUGCCACCUCUUUGUCACUUGCUUGUCUUCAUCAGGAUUCAGGGGUCUGGGUGGUUGUAUAUGUUAUCUGUCUUAAAUGGAAAGAAAUAAGCAGAUUCCUUUGGAAGCAGUUCAGCAAAUAGCUGGGCUCAGAAUGAGCUACCUUCUAUAUCAAAACCUUUCUAUGCACUACACCUGGACAACUUGCUGCCCUGUGGCUGCAGGAGCUGUUCCAGGCAUGCCAUACCAUACUGUGCCCCCCAUAACUGAUGGGUGAGGUGGUGGGCACUGCUCAUUGUGUCUGGAUGCCCAUCACUCAAGCCUGGUGUGACCAGUCAACCACCCUGAGUACCUGCAGCUCUUCAUUGCUUAAAGCCCUUGAAGCAAGAGAAGCGGAUAGCCCAUAAACACAUAAAAAGAAGUUCAACAUCAUUAGCCAACAGAGAAAUGCAAAUCAAAACCACUUCACGCCCACCAGGAUGGCUAAACUAGAUAACAAAUGUUAGAAUGUGGAGAAAUUGGAAUUUAUAUAUCGUUGAGAAUGGAAAUGGUGAAUGUUAAAUAGUGCAGUCACUUCAGAAAACAGUCUCGCAGUUCCUCAGCAUGUUAGAUAUAGAGUUACCAUAUGACCUGAGCAUUUUCAUCCUGCGUAUUUACCCAAAAUAAAUGAAAACAUAAUCCACACAAGAACAUGUACAGGAACAUCCAUAGCAAUGUGAUUCAUAAUAGCUAAAAAGUAGAAAACAGCCCAAAUGUCCAGAUGGAUAAAUAAAAUGUGCUAUAUCCAUGCAAUGGAAUAUUAUUCAGCAAAGAAAAGGAAUGAAUUAUGGGAAGACAUCCAUUAUGGAAAGACUUACUGCUGCAAAGAUGGCAGUAAUCCCCUAUGUAACCUCUAAAUCCAACAUAAUCGCUAUCAAAAUCCCAGCUGGAAUUUUUACAGAAACUGACUAUCUCGUUGUAAAAUCCACAUAGAAAUGCAAGGAACCUAGGAUGUUGAAAACAACAUUAAAUAAGAACAAUGUUGGUGGACUCAUACUUUCUGACUUCAAACUUACAACAAAACUGUAGUUAUUAAGACAGUGUGGUCAAGUAGUAAGGCUAGACAUAUAGAUCAAAGGAAUAGAAUGGAGAGUCUAGAAUAAACCUUUACAUUUAAGGUCACUUGGUUUUCAACAAGGGUGUCAAGACAAUUAAAUGGGGGAAAUUUUUUUCAACAAAUGGUGUUUGUUUGAUUGGAGUUCCCCCGUGGCACAGUGGGUUAAGGAUCCAGCAUUGUCACUGUGGUGGCUUGGGUUGCUACUGUGGUGCAGUUUUGAUCCCUGGUCCAGGAACUUCCACAUGCUAUGGAGUGCAGCCAACAAACAAACAAACAGAAACAAAAAAUGGUGUUAGAUAUUCAUAUGCAGAAAAAUUAAGUUGGACCUUUACCUCUUUGUGAGCUUGGGUUAGUCAAUGGUUUCUUAGAUAUGACACCAGAAAGCACAAGAAACAAAGGAAAAAAAAUAGAUACACUGGACUUCACCAAAAUUUAAAACUUUUGUGCUUCAAAUAACACCAUUAGAAGAAUCAAAAGACAACCCACAGAAUGGGAGAAAAUAUAAUUAUAUAUUUGAUAAAGGACUUAUAUAUAGAAUAUAUAAGGAAUUCACACAAGUCAAUAAUAAGACACAUAACCAAAUUUAAACGAUAAGCAAAGGCUCUGAAUAGACAUUUCCCCAAGACAAAUAUACAAAUAAGCACAUGAAAAUAUGUUCAACAUCAUUAGUCACUAAGGAAGUGCAAAUCAAGGCCGCAGUGAGAUACUCCUUCACACCCACUAGGAUGACUAAAAUUAAAAAGACAAACAAUAGCUAGUAUUGGAGAAGAUGUGUAGAAAUUGAACCCUAAUCCGCUGCUGAUGGGAAUGUAAGGCAUUUGUUUCAGAAAUCAGUCUUGCAGUUCCUCAAAAUAUUAUACAUGGAAUUAGCACAUGACUGAGCAGUUCCACUCCUAGAUGUGUGCCCAAGGAAAUGGAAACACCUGUCCACACCAAAAUGUGCACAUGAAUGCUUCAGCAGCAUUAUUCAUAGUAGCCAAAAAGUGGAAACAAUCCAAGGUUCCAUCAACUGAUGAAUGGAUGAACCAAAUGUAGCAUAAACUAUACAGUGGAUUAUUAUCUGGGCAUAAAAGGGAAUGGAGUACUGAUUCAUUUCUCAGCUGGAUGAACCUUGAAAACAUUAUGCGAAGUGAAAGGAAUCUAGUCACAAGACAACAGAUUGAAUGAUCGCAUUAAUAGGAAGUUUCCGGAGUUGGAAAAUUUGUCGACAGAAAGUAGAUUUAUAUGUAGUGCUAUAUAUAGUAAAACUAUAUAGACAGAAGCAGUUGCUUACAGGCUAGAGGGUGUGGGAAACAAUAGCUAAAGGAUACAGUGUUUCUUUUUGAUGUGAUGGAUGCAGAAAUCUGUGAAUAUGCUAAAAACCAUUGAAAUGCAUCCUUUAAAUAGGUGAAUUGUAUGCUAUGUGACAUAAACAUCAAUAAAGCUGCUAAAAAAUGUGUAGCAAAUCAUUCUGGCUUAAAAUGAAUAAAUCGUCAUUAAUAUGACAGUUUGUUGGCUCUGCUUACUGCUGGCUGUGUAACAUUGGACCAAGUAAAUUCUGCUCCCUGCCUUGGUGUCCUUCUCUACGAAAUGGAUGAAGCCAUAUCUAAUUCAUGGUAUCCUUUGCCUCUUCCCUGCCCUCAUCUCUCUGCCUCCAGUCUCUCCUCCCAGUUCUAACUUGCUAACAUCUUCAUUGAAGUUUUCCUGCGGCACAGGUCUGAUCACAUCUUCCCAGGCUUCAGACUGAAGUGGCUCCCUGCUACUGAAAAGGACAAACACCUGCCCAUCCCUUUGUCCUCCAGGCCAUCCCUCUGUUGGGCUUCACCAUCUUCCUACCUCCUCAGGUACUUUGCACAGAGGCCAAGGCAGGCUAUUCUCCUUUCUCCAAACUGAAGUACUGCUUUCUGCCUCCACAAGUUGACUCACAUUGAUGCCUGUGGCUGACAAAAUAUUCACAACCUGCACCGAUCUGCUCAGUGCCAGGUCAGGUCUGACUCCUAUCUUGCUGGGGUCUCAUGCCCAGCACUGGCCCUCUCUGCUCUUGCUUUUCUCUCCUUUAAAAUGAUGGAAUUGGACUACCUGGAUAUUCUGAGGAAUAAGAAUUCCUGGUUCAUAAAAAGGUCCUUCAGCAUCACUAAUCAUCAGGGAAAUGCAAAUCAAACCACCAUGAGAUCUUACCUCACACCUGUCAGAAUAGCUGUCAUCAAAAAGAUAAGAAGUAACAUCUUGGUGAGGAUGUGGAGGAAAAGGAACCCUUGUGCACUGUUGGUGGGAAUGUAAAUGGGUCUAGCCACCAUGGAAAACAGUAAUGGAAACUCCUCAAAUAAUUAAAAGUAGGACUAUCCUAUGAUACAGCAACUCCAUUUCUGCAUAUUUGUCCAAAGAAAACAAAAGCACUAGCUCAAAAACAUAUAUGUACCCCCAUGUUCAUUGAAGCGUGAUUCACAAUAGCCAAGUUAUGGACACAACCUACGUGACAUCAUUGAUGGAUGAAUGGAUGAAGAAAAUGUGGUAUUAUACACAUAAUGGAAUAUUACUCAGCCAUAAAAAGAAGGAAAUCUUGCCAUUUGUGACAACAUGGAUGGACUUUAAGGGCAUUAUUCCAAGAGAAAUAAGAUAGAGAAAGACAAAUUCUGUAUGAUCUCAUUUAUGCGGAACCUAAAAAACAAAUAAAACCCCCAGUGAGCUCACAGGUACAAAGAACUGAUUGGUGGUUGCCAGAGGCUGGGGUUGGGGGUGAGUUAAAUGAGUGGAAGGGGUCCAAAUAUAAUCUUCCAGUUAUAAAUAAGUCAGUCCUGUGUACAUAAUGUACAGCAUAAUGACUAUAGUUAAUAAUACUGUAUUGUACUUUUGAAAGUUGCGAAGAGAAUAGAUCUUAAAAGUAGGUCACGAGAAAAAAAAACUUUACCUCUGUAUGCUGGCAGACGUUCACUAGACUUACUGCAGUGAUCAUCUCACUAUAUAUGAAUAUCAGAUCAUUAUGUUGUACACCUGAAACUAAUAUAAUGUCACAUAACAAUUAUAUCUCAAUUUUAAAAAGUAGGAAUAUAAAAGAAUUCCCUGGGAUGUUCAUAGAAUUUUUCAAAAGAGGGUGGUAUGGUCAGCUCUAACCACAGAACUUCUCAGAGCCUUUAAUUUGCUAUUGGGCAUUGUGAGCCGCCAGGAGGGGGAUAUAAUUUGCAAACUUUGAUGUAAAUUGCAGAAAUACCUUUUUGGAUCCAUCUCCUAGAGUAAUGAAAAUAAAAGCAAAAAUAAACAAAUAGGACCCAAUUAAACAUAAGAGCUUUUGCACAGCAAAGGAAACUAUAAACAGAACAAAAAGACAUCUAUAAGAUGUGGGAGAAACUCUUUGUAAAUGAGGCAACCGACAAGGGAUUAAUCUCCAAGAUAUACAAAUAUCUCGUAAUUCAAAAAAAAAAAAAAAA